GUCAGCAAGAGAGGGGUGAAAGAUGAUCUGCAGCAUUUGUGGUGCACAAGGCCAUAAUAAGAGGUUCCAUGGAGUGGAACUGAACACCACAUAGAACCUGCGAAAACAACAACACAGAGGACCUUCUCUUGGUGAGACUUCAUUGGGAGUGGAGUUACUUGCUAAUGUUAGACAAAAAGGAGAGGCAUCUGACUUAGGAAUACCAGCUCAAUCAAAGAUGAGUGUUGGCAAACUUUCAAUUGUGGAGAUUUCUAUUGAUUGUUUCUGUUUGGUAUCUUAAAUUAUAACAAUUGAAAUCAAUUGAUUGUGUUUGGUGUCUUAGGAACAUCAGUUCUGUUUGAUGCCUUGAAUAGUUUACAAUGCUUGUAUUUGAUCCCCUUCUAUGCAGUUUUUUACAAUUCCUGUUGGCACAACAUAUGGGACAACACCUUGCUCCCAAACACAAGAGCACGUGUCACAAGUGGACAUUGGACAUUUGCAAACAUAUGACAUGGGCUCAUAUAGAAAUGUAGAUGAAUUUAGUAGCCUAGACCAUUCAAAUGUGUAGAUGGCAGUGAAAGAAGUUGCAGGAGGGAAAGAACAAACUUCAAACCUUGUAAUGGAAGCACAUCCUUAUGGAAGAAAACCUACCAACAAAUCAUCAACAACUGCUUCAGCAAUGUUGAAGAUUCAAGUAAAAACUAAAUAAGCAGGGCCAUCCAACAAGGCAGGAGGUGCUGACAAAAGGAGAAAGAUUUGGUUGCCACCAGGAAUUGGAGCCUAUUCUAGUUCAACUGAUGCUUACAAAAAACCUUCUUAAGAUGCAAAUUGCUUGCCUGAUUUUGUACAUCUGCAG